AUUGAACGCUGGCGGCAUGCCUAACACAUGCAAGUCGAACGGCAGCACGGUCUAGUUUACUAGAUGGGUGGCGAGUGGCGGACGGGUGAGUAAUGCGCAGGAAUAUGCCUUAAAGAGGGGGAUAACUUGGGGAAACUCAAGCUAAUACCGCAUAAUCUCUAUGGAGAAAAGCUGGGGACCUUCGGGCCUGGCGCUUUAAGAUUAGCCUGCGUCCGAUUAGCUAGUUGGUAGGGUAAAGGCCUACCAAGGCGACGAUCGGUAGCUGGUCUGAGAGGAUGACCAGCCACACUGGAACUGAGACACGGUCCAGACUCCUACGGGAGGCAGCAGUGGGGAAUAUUGGACAAUGGGGGCAACCCUGAUCCAGCAAUGCCGCGUGUGUGAAGAAGGCCUGAGGGUUGUAAAGCACUUUCAGUGGGGAGGAGGAUUGCUAGGUUAAGAGCUAGGUAAUUGGACGUUACCCACAGAAGAAGCACCGGCUAACUCCGUGCCAGCCGCCGCCGUAA
rnacentral:rRNA from 1 species